rnacentral:rRNA from 1 species
AACGAACGCUGGCGGCAUGCCUAAUACAUGCAAGUCGAACGCCUGUAGCAAUACAGGAGUGGCGCACGGGUGAGUAACGCGUGGGAACCGCCCUUGAGUGGGGGAUAACCCGGCGAAAGCCGGGCUAAUACCGCAUACGCCCUUGGGGAAACCCUUGGGGAAAGAUUUAUCGCUCUUGGAGGGGCCCGCGUCGGAUUAGCUAGUUGGUAGGGUAACGGCCUACCAAGGCGAUGAUCCGUAGCUGGUCUGAGAGGAUGAUCAGCCACACUGGGACUGAGACACGGCCCAGACUCCUACGGGAGGCAGCAGUAGGGAAUAUUGGACAAUGGGGGAAACCCUGAUCCAGCAAUGCCGCGUGGGUGAUGAAGGCCUUGGUUG